rfam:Jatropha curcas cultivar GZQX0401 scaffold779_38, whole genome shotgun sequence.
AUCCCAGAUGAUCUUCUUUUGUGAUCAUCUGAUUCAUGGGAGGCAAAUAAUAAUAAUAUGGGAGUCCGCUGAUAGCACUUUCAAUCUCUUGAAGUGUUUUGAUAGUAGCUUACCUUACAUGG